UCCGGCCGGGACCUUGCUCUCUGGGUGGCAGUGGCGGACGGGUGAGGAAUACAUCGGAAUCUACUCUGUCGUGGGGGAUAACGUAGGGAAACUUACGCUAAUACCGCAUACGACCUACGGGUGAAAGCAGGGGACCUUCGGGCCUUGCGCGAUUGAAUGAGCCGAUGUCGGAUUAGCUAGUUGGCGGGGUAAAGGCCCACCAAGGCGACGAUCCGUAGCUGGUCUGAGAGGAUGAUCAGCCACACUGGAACUGAGACACGGUCCAGACUCCUACGGGAGGCAGCAGUGGGGAAUAUUGGACAAUGGGCGCAAGCCUGAUCCAGCCAUACCGCGUGGGUGAAGAAGGCCUUCGGGUUGUAAAGCCCUUUUGUUGGGAAAGAAAUCCAGCUGGCUAAUACCCGGUUGGGAUGACGGUACCCAAAGAAUAAGCACCGGCUAACUUCGUGCCAGCAGCCGCGGUAAUACGAAGGGGUGCAAGCGUUACUCGGAAUUACUGGGCGUAAAGCGUGCGUAGGUGGUUAUUUAAGUCCGUGGGGAAGCCCUGGGCUCACCUGGGAACUGCAGUGGAUACUGGAUGACUAGAAUGUGGUAGAGGGUAGCGAAUUCCUGGUGUAGCAUGAAAUGCUAAAGAUCAGGAGGAAAUCCUUGGGGAAGGCGGCUACCUGGACCACAUUGAACUGAGGCACAAAGCCUG
rnacentral:rRNA from 1 species